GACGAACGCUGGCGGCGUGCUUAACACAUGCAAGUCGAACGGGCCCGCUCUCUUUUUUGGGGGUGGGUUGAGUGGCGAACGGGUGAGUAUCACGUGAGUAACCUGCCCCCUGCUCCUGGAUAACUGCUUGAAAGGGCGGCUAAUACGGGGUGUGCCGGCUGGUCCGCAUGGGCCUGGUCGGGAUAGUUUCAUCUUCGGGUGUUUCGGUGGGGGAUGGGCUCGCGGCCUAUCAGCUUGUUGGUGGGGUGAUGGCCCACCAAGGCGGUGACGGGUCGCCGGCCUGAGAGGGUGGGCGGCCACACUGGGACUGAGACACGGCCCAGACUCCUGCGGGAGGCAGCAGUGGGGGGUAUUGCACAAUGGGCGGAAGCCUGAUGCAGCGACGGCGCGUGAGGGAUGGAGGCCUUCGGGUUGUGAAACUCUUUCUCCGGUGGUGAAGGCCCUGUCCGUUGCGGCGGGGUUGACGGUAGCCGGGUAUGAAGCGCCGGCUAACUACGUG
rnacentral:rRNA from 1 species